UACGGAGGGUGCAAACGUUGCUCGGAAUCAUUGGGCGUAAAGGGCUCGUAGGCGGUUUGUCGCGUCGGGAGUGAAAACACCGGGCUUAACUCGGUGCUUGCUUUCGAUACGGGCAGACUGGAGGUAUGCAGGGGAGAACGGAAUUCCUGGUGUAGCGGUGAAAUGCGCAGAUAUCAGGAGGAACACCGGUGGCGAAGGCGGUUCUCUGGGCAUUACCUGACGCUGAGGAGCGAAAGUGUGGGGAGCGAACAGG
rnacentral:rRNA from 1 species